rnacentral:rRNA from 1 species
CCUGGAAACAGGAGAGUGCUUUCAUUAGAGAGAACCUGGAGACAGGUGCUGCAUGGCUGUCGUCAGCUCGUGUCGUGAGAUGUGGGUUAAGUCCCGCAACGAGCGCAACCCUUGCCUUUAGUUGCCAGCAGUUCGGCUGGGCACUUUAAAGGGACUGCCGGUGUCAAACCGGAGGAAGGUGGGGAUGACGUCAAGUCCUCAUGGCCUUUAUGGCCAGGGCUACACACGUACUACAAUGGCCGGUACAAAGGGCAGCGACAUUGCGAGAUGGAGCGAAUCCCGAAAAGCCGGUCUCAGUCCGGAUUGGAGUCUGCAACUCGACUCCAUGAAGUUGGAAUCGCUAGUAAUCGUGGAUCAGCAUGUCGCGGUGAAUACGUUCCCGGGUCUU